rnacentral:lncRNA from 1 species
AGGGUGACUGGUUAAUAUCCGUACAACUUCAAGAUCAAAGCAUUUUUUCUAUUCGUGAUAUAUUAAAAUCAGGAGAGGCCGAACAACAUAAACAAAUAUUUGAUAAAUAUGGACUUUUGGGUAACAAAGUUUACAAGCGCACGGAAUUUGGCCGACGAUGGCUUGUCCCGAAAAAGUGCACUUGGCAAAUUAUUAGGCUAAAUCAUGAUAACGUUGGACAUUUUGCGGUUGACAAAACAGUCGAAAGGAUCCGUUCAUUAUAUUGGUUUCCGCGAUUAAAAACCACAGUAAAGAAAUAUAUAAAUAACUUUUUAAAUUGUAUUUAUUAUAAAAAUCUUCAUGGUAAAAAAAACCAGGUCAGUUAUAUCCAAUACCAAAAUACGCACGUCUUUUUCACUCUUUGCAUUUGAACUAUUUAGAACCAUUUGUGAAAUCAAAACAAAACAAAUGUUAUUUACUUUUAAUUGUAGAUUUGUUUACAAAGUUUGUAUUCAUAGCCGCUACAAAUGAUUGGGGAGGGUUGUUAAUGAGUUAGAUAAAAUAUUUAAAAUAUUCGGCAAUCCGAAACGUAUUAUAUGUGAUGCAGGGAUUGCUUUUACUUCAAAAUUAUUUAUGUAUUAUGUAAUAGUAACUGCGGUACCACGCUCUAAUGGUCAGGUAGAACGCUAUAAUAAAACAAUUUUAGAGGCCUUCGUAGCAUGGGGGCAGAUACAGAUAAUAAUAAAUGGGACCAACAUAUCGAUCAAAUUCAACAAGGUAUUAACAGUACGAUCAAUAAAACCACAACGGCAGUACCAAGCGAGGUAUUUUUUGGUUACCGGUUACGAAUGAGUAGCGAUACUGAUUGCAAUAACGAUGAACAGUUAGUAGACGUAACCGCGUUAAGAAAACAAAUGGAUUCUAAAAUAAAAAUAAGCGCAGAAAAACAAAAGGUGGCUUUUGAUUCAUAACGGAAGGAAGCACUUAAUUAUAAAGUCGGUGAGCUUGUAGUGAUUAAAGUUCCCAGUUGUACAAAUAGCGGACAAAGUACUAAACUCAUGGCUUAGUACAAAGGACCAUUUCAAAUAACCGAAAUAUUGGGUCAUGAUAGAUAUCGAGUAGAGGACAUGAGAGGAUCGGAAAGAAGUUCCAAGCUUUAUGAUGGGAUAUCCUGUGUGGAAAACAUGAAACCUUGGAUACGCUUGGACAACAACAUUUUAUAAGCCGGCUGUUGUCAGUGGUACUACUUUAUUUUCAAUUACACCAGACAAGCACGCGAUUCGGGACGAACGCGUUAACAGGAGGGCCGGAUGUUGUCGUCUAUGAAAAUCGCGCGUUAUCUGUGACGUAGCGUUGCGUAGUUGGCAACCUUGAACCGUUCGCGCCUUAUUACAUGAAACAGUUGGGAUUACUGUAGAAAAAUGGCGCCUCGCACCAUUUUUCCUACCCCCUCAAUUAUUGACUGUUAUAAAAGGUGGUGUAACAAACUUUUGGGUUAAUCAAUAGUGAGGGUGCUAGCGGUCUCAUUCUGUUAAAAGUAAAAGUGUCACUAAUAAUUAACGUGAUAAACAGUUACAAGUAUACGGAUUUG